rfam:Ficedula albicollis isolate OC2 chromosome 4, whole genome shotgun sequence.
AAAUAGUCUCUUUUAAGAGACACUCAAAUAAUUAAAAAAAAUUGA